UUCGGUAACCCUAAGAGAAGGUCCCCCGGGGCCAUUAGCUAGUGGUAAGGUUAAGGCUUACCAAGGCGAUGAUCCCUACCCGAUUUGAGGACUGAUCGGCCACAAUGGGAUUGAGACCCGGCCCAUAUUCCUACGGGAGGCAGCAGUAGGGAAUCUUCCCCAAUGGGCGAAAGCCUGAUGGAGCAACGCCGCGUGUGUGAUGAAGGGUUUCGGCUCGUAAAACACUGUUGUAAGAGAAGAAUGACAUUGAGAGUAACUGUUCAAUGUGUGACGGUAUCUUACCAGAAAGGAACGGCUAAAUACGUGCCAGCAGCCGCGGUAAUACGUAUGUUCCAAGCGUUAUCCGGAUUUAUUGGGCGUAAAGCGAGCGCAGACGGUUAUUUAAGUCUGAAGUGAAAGCCCUCAGCUCAACUGAGGAAUUGCUUUGGAAACUGGAUGACUUGAGUGCAGUAGAGGAAAGUGGAACUCCAUGUGUAGCGGUGAAAUGCGUAGAUAUAUGGAAGAACACCAGUGGCGAAGGCGGCUUUCUGGACUGUAACUGACGUUGAGGCUCGAAAGUGUGGGUAGCAAACAGGAUUAGAUACCCUGGUAGUCCACACCGUAAACGAUGAGUGCUAGGUGUUUGAGGGUUUCCGCCCUUAAGUGCCGCAGCUAACGCAUUAAGCACUCCGCCUGGGGAGUACGACCGCAAGGUUGAAACUCAAAGGAAUUGACGGGGACCCGCACAAGCGGUGGAGCAUGUGGUUUAAUUCGAAGCAACGCGAAGAACCUUACCAGGUCUUGACAUCCCUUGACAACUCCAGAGAUGGAGCGUUCCCUUCGGGGACAAGGUGACAGGUGGUGCAUGGUUGUCGUCAGCUCGUGUCGUGAGAUGUUGGGUUAAGUCCCGCAACGAGCGCAACCCUUAUUACUAGUUGCCAGCAUUCAGUUGGGCACUCUAGUGAGACUGCCGGUGACAAACCGGAGGAAGGUGGGGAUGACGUCAAAUCAUCAUGCCCCUUAUGACCUGGGCUACACACGUGCUACAAUGGCGUAUACAACGAGUUGCCAACCCGCGAGGGUGAGCUAAUCUCUUAAAGUACGUCUCAGUUCGGAUUGUAGGCUGCAACUCGCCUACAUGAAGUCGGAAUCGCAGUAAUCGCGGAUCAGCACGCCGCGGUGAAUACGUUCCCGGGUCUUGUACACACCGCCCGUCACACCAUGAGAGUUUGUAACACCCAAAGCCGGUGGGGUAACCUUCGGAGCCAGCCGUCU
rnacentral:rRNA from 1 species